GAUGAAGAACGCAGCGAAAUGCGAUAAGUAAUGCGAAUUGCAGAAUCCGUGAGUCAUCGAAUCUUUGAACGCACAUUGCGCCCUUUGGUAUUCCGAAGGGCAUGCCUGUUCGAGCGUCAUUAUCACCACUCAGGCCCGGCUUGCUGUUGGUGGCAGCGCAGCCGGUCAACCGGCUACGCUCCACCCAAAGAUAAUGACGGCGUCUGCGAGGACUCCUGUACAUUGAGCUUUCGGGCACGUACAUGGCUAGAAGUCCAGGCGCCGGUCGACGUCCUCCGGGACACUUUUUACCAAGGUUGACCUCGGAUCAGGUAGGGAUACCCGCUGAACUUAAGCAUAUCAAUAAGCGGAGGA
rnacentral:misc_RNA from 1 species